rnacentral:rRNA from 1 species
UCCAGAGGGGGCAAGCGUUGUUCGGAAUUACUGGGCGUAAAGGGCGCGUAGGCGGCCCGCUAAGUCGUACGUGAAAUCCCCGAGCUCAACUCGGGAACUGCGUCCGAUACUGGUGGGCUUGAAUCCGGGAGAGGGAUGCGGAAUUCCAGGUGUAGCGGUGAAAUGCGUAGAUAUCUGGAGGAACACCGGUGGCGAAGGCGGCAUCCUGGACCGGCAUUGACGCUGAGGCGCGAAAGCUAGGGGAGCAAACGGG